rnacentral:misc_RNA from 1 species
CGGUGCUGCGCAAGGACUUCUUGUUCGAAACCUAUCAGGUCGCCGAGGCGCGGGCCUGGGGCGCUGAUUGCAUUUUGAUCAUUCUGGCCGCCGUUGGCGAUGAUGUGGCCCGCUAUCUGCUGGAUGCCGCCGCCGAGUGGAAGAUGGAUGCCCUGGUAGAAGUCCAUGAUCAGCUUGAGCUGGACCGGGCCGUCGCCCUGGGGGCCGAAUUCAUCGGCAUCAAUAAUCGCAAUCUGCGCACUUUCGAGACAACGCUCGAGACCUCGAUCAAUCUGGCGGUCGGCGUGCCCAAGGGAACCCUGCUGGUCAGCGAGAGCGGCAUCACCAGCCACGACGACAUUGUCAAACUUGACCACGCGGCCGGCAUCGGCACCUUCCUGGUCGGGGAAAGCCUGAUGCGCCAGGACGAUGUGGUGAGCGCGACGCGGACGCUGUUGAUGGGUGCCGCGCAGGUCAAGGCCUGAUGAGCGGCGGGCUCACCCACCUCAACGCCCGGGGCGAAGCCCAGAUCGUCGAUAUCGGCGACAAGGCCAGCACCCGCCGCCGCGCGGUGGCGCAGGCGCGCCUGGUGGGGCAGCCUCAAACCAUAGCCCUGAUCAUGGCCGGCGGUCUCAAGAAGGGUGACGCGCUGGCCGUCGCCCGCAUCGCCGGUAUCAUGGCCGCCAAAAAGACCUCAGAGCUGAUCCCGCUGUGCCAUCCGAUUGCCCUGACCAAGGUCAGCGUCGAGAUCGCCGAAUUUGCCGAAGACGCCAUCCUGAUCAUGGCGACGGCUGAGACCACCGGGCAGACCGGGGUUGAAAUGGAGGCGCUGGUGGCCGCCUCGACGGCAGCACUGACGCUGUAUGACAUGGCCAAGGCAAUCGACCGGGCCAUGGUGGUCACCGAUAUCUGCUUGAUGGAAAAAUCGGGCGGCAAGUCCGGCGAUUUCGUGCGCGCAUGAGCCUGCUCCCGGUCGAAGAGGCCAUAGAAGCCAUUUUGCGCCGCGUACCGGCGCCGCAGGGCCAAAGCGUGCCGCUGGCCGAGGCGGCGGGCCGGGUGCUGUUUGCCCCGGUGCUGGCCCAGCAUGAUCAACCGCCUUUUGAUGCCAGUGCCAUGGAUGGCUACGCGGUGCGGUCUGCCGAUAUCGUGCCCGGGCAUCGUCUUAAAGUGAUCGGCAUGGCGCAGGCCGGCACCGGUUUUGCCGGCACGGUGGGUGUCGACGAAGCCGUGCGGAUCUUUACCGGGGCACCGGUCCCAGCCGGCGCCGAUGCGGUGAUCAUGCAGGAAGAUGCUGUGGUCGACGGCGAUCGUGUCGCCUUCACCAGCCAGCCGCAGGCGGGCCGCAGCGUGCGCGCCAAAGGCAAUGAUUUUUGUGUCGGCCAGCAGCUGAUCGAGGCCGGCACCCGGCUGACGCCGAUGCAGCUUGCUGUCGCCGCUGCCGCCAACGCCCCUGCCCU